AUGCAGAGUCAAUUGUUGGGUACAUGGCUGCAUCUCCAUAUGCUUGCAUUUCUCGAUUUUUCCCUUCUCAAGUCUGAAUUCUGUCAUGGACCGGUUUAUUAUCGAGGCAUUAACUCAAUUUCUGUUAUUUGUGCAGGAUUGGCGAUUUUGACAAGCUUUUGGUUAAGGUAUUACCGUUCUGGUUAUGUUUGGCAUAAGUUUUGGUGA